AAGAAGUUAGUUUAAAAAAAACAUUAAUUUGUCAAAUUAAAAAUAUUAAAUUAAUACUUCUUA
rnacentral:tRNA from 1 species